rnacentral:rRNA from 1 species
AUGAUUCUUCCGCAGUGACACUUAUUGAAGCCGAUGUGGCCUCGCAAGGGGUAGCCUCGCGACUGAAAACAAUGAAGGUUUACACAAGCAUUCCAUGGAAUUGCAACAUGAUCGAAAUGCGGGGACAUCCUAAAGCCAAGAGGUACGAACUCCGAGUGGAAACGCUCCGAGGGCCUAUGUUAACAACAUAGGGUAGUAAUAAUCUUCUUGGAUAUAGCAAUGGAUCAUCCGCAGCGUGUCCCUAGAAAGCUACAUAGCUCAUGGGAACCGUUCACAGACUAAGUGAUCAUGGGCAUAGCUCUUAAUUAACUAAGCACUAUGCUUAAGAUAUAGUCGGGCUCCGAUGGAAACAUCGGGGGGUAAGUCACUGAGAUUUACAUAUAAUCAAGAGAUAAAAGUCAUCGAUUUUGCAUUAAGAAGACUUAUCUCUAUUUUAUAUACAACCGUUCCGUAGGUGAACCUGCGGAAGGAUCAUUA